GGGGGCGACCGGUUUCGACGGAGAUUCUGAACCCUUUGGGGCAUGCCGGGUUGUUGGUCCCGUAAAAAGCUGACAUUGCAUAUAAUUGCAAACGACGACGUAGAACUAGCUUACGCUGCGUAAGUUACCCCGCUCUUGAGGUGUCCAUCCAUUGGGAAUCCGGGGUCAUUUAGAUGGAAUCGUCACAUAGGGCUGGAGACUCGAGGUCUUGUGGAUUAAACAGUUUCGAAUCGACUUGAGGGAUACUUUGUCCAUUUGGUUUUUCUCAAGUGCUGCUCAAAUGGAAUAAGCAUGUAGAACCAUUGGCUGAUGGUUUUCGGACGCGGGUUCAACUCCCGCCGCCUCCACCA
rnacentral:tmRNA from 1 species